UACGUAGGGCGCAAGCGUUAUCCGGAAUUAUUGGGCGUAAAGAGCUCGUAGGCGGUUUGUCGCGUCUGCCGUGAAAGUCCGGGGCUCAACUCCGGAUCUGCGGUGGGUACGGGCAGACUAGAGUGUGGUAGGGGAGACUGGAAUUCCUGGUGUAGCGGUGAAAUGCGCAGAUAUCAGGAGGAACACCGGUGGCGAAGGCGGGUCUCUGGGCCGUAACUGACGCUGAGGAGCGAAAGCGUGGGGAGCGAACAGG
rnacentral:rRNA from 1 species